GGAAUAUUGGACAAUGGAGGCAACUCUGAUCCAGCCAUGCCGCGUGAAGGAAUAAGGCCCUAUGGGUUGUAAACUUCUUUUAGACGGGACAAAACCCCUUUACGUGUAAAGGGUUGAUGGUACUUUCAGAAUAAGCAUCGGCUAACUUCGUGCCAGCAGCCGCGGUAAUACGAAGGAUGCAAGCGUUAUCCGGAAUUAUUGGGUUUAAAGGGUGCGUAGGCGGACUAAUAAGUCAGUGGUGAAAGCCUGCAGCUUAACUGCAGAAUUGCCAUUGAUACUGUUAGUCUUGAGUACAGUUGAGGUAGGCGGAAUGUGUCAUGUAGCGGUGAAAUGACUAGAUAUGACACAGAACACCGAUUGCGAAGGCAGCU
rnacentral:rRNA from 1 species